rnacentral:rRNA from 1 species
UACGAAGGGAGCUAGCGUUGUUCGGAAUCACUGGGCGUAAAGAGCGUGUAGGCGGCCAGAUAAGUCCGCUGUGAAAUCUCGAGGCUCAACUUCGAGCUGUCGGUGGAAACUGUCUGGCUAGAGUCCGGAAGAGGAGAAUGGAAUUCCUGGUGUAGCGGUGAAAUGCGCAGAUAUCAGGAAGAACACCCGUGGCGAAGGCGGUUCUCUGGGACGGUACUGACGCUGAGACGCGAAAGCGUGGGGAGCGAACAGG